CGCAUGUUUGGAGUCCAACAAAGGUUCUAUGUGAUUAUUGAUGAUUGUGAACUGAAAUAAUAUAUACUUUUUGAAUGCAUUUCUGACUCUUUGACUUUUUUAGUUAAUUAUAUCUGCUAUUUUAUUUUCCCUAUUUGUGUUUAGUUUAAUUUCACUCUGUCUGACAUGGUUGUGGUGACCUGGUGAUCACCUGGCGCCCAACUUUAACCCCCACUGAAUUUUCAACAUCAUCCGUGUGAACAAGACUGCAGGGUUCACACUGCAACACACAUGAUAACAGAUCUGACCAUAUUCCAGACUGCACAGGUAAUCUGUGAAAAAUACUAGAGGACAAUGGAACUAUCUGAAGAUGUAUAUCAAGAGAUUGACAGUCACCCUAAGAAUGGAGAAUAUGACGAUGUUGGUGCACAAAAGCCUAGAGAGGUGAAGGGACAUCAUGUGUGGAAAAAGUGGGCUCUGGUGGUCAUGGGGCUGCUGUGUCUUCUGCUGCUGGUGGUCAUCACUAGACUGUUUGCCAAGACCACGGCAGAGAGAAACCAGUGUCAGACGGAUUUCAGCAGUCUGCAGACUGAAAAAGCCAUGGAGGAAGCAGAGCUGGAGAGCAACCUGACCCAUGAGAGGCACCAGUACAACCAGCUGAAGCUGCAACAUUCUCAGUUACAAACCAGUUACAACAUCACAGCUGAAGCGAAAGAUAAUCAGCAGGCACGUCUUUGCAAACUAGGUGAGAGGAUAUUUGAUGAAUGUAAGUGUUUGACUGGAUUAAUAACUGAGAACAAUACUCGAAUAGUCAGGGAAUAAAUGUGUUUCCUGA
rnacentral:lncRNA from 1 species